rnacentral:rRNA from 1 species
CCUACGGGUGGCAGCAGUGGGGAAUAUUGGGCAAUGGGCGCAAGCCUGACCCAGCAACGCCGCGUGAAGGAAGAAGGCUUUCGGGUUGUAAACUUCUUUUGAUAGGGAAGUGCAGAAGACGGUACCUGCCGAAUAAGCCAUGGCUAACUACGGGCCAGCAGCCGCGGUAAUACGUAGGUGGCAAGCGUUAUCCGGAUUUACUGGGUGUAAAGGGAGUGUAGGCGGGAAAGCAAGUCAGAUGUGAAAAUCAUGGGCUCAACCUGUGGCCUGCAUUUGAAACUGUUUGUCUUGAGUACUGGAGAGGCAGACGGAAUUCGUGGUGUAGCGGUGAAAUGCGUAGAUAUUAGGAAGAACACCGGUGGCGAAGGCAGUCUGCUGAACAGCAACUGACGCUGAGGCGCGAAAGCGUGGGGAGCAAACAGGAUUAGAUACCCCAGUAGUC